AUAACUGUACCUAUCACUGCUCUAUUACAGGACCCUCACCCUAUAACUGUACCUAUCACUGCUCUAUUACAGGACCCCUCACCCUAUAACUGUACCUAUCACUGCUCUAUUACAGGACCCCUCACCCUAUAACUGUACCUAUCACUGCUCUAUUACAGGACCCCUCACCCUAUAACUGUACCUAUCACUACUCUAUUACAGGUCUCCUCACCCUAUAACUGUACCUAUCACUUCUCUAUUACAGGACCCCUCACCCUAUAACUGUACCUAUCACUGCUCUAUUACAGGACCCCUCACCCUAUAACUGUACCUAUCUCUGCUCUAUUACAGGACCCC